CAGGCUGAUACCGCCCAAGAGUUCAUAUCGACGGCGGUGUUUGGCACCUCGAUGUCGGCUCAUCACAUCCUGGGGCUGAAGUAGGUCCCAAGGGUAUGGCUGUUCGCCAUUUAAAGUGGUACGCGAGCUGGGUUUAGAACGUCGUGAGACAGUUCGGUCCCUAUCUGCCGUGGGCGCUGGAGAAUUGAGGGGGGCUGCUCCUAGUACGAGAGGACCGGAGUGGACGCAUCACUGGUGUUCGGGUUGUCAUGCCAAUGGCACUGCCCGGUAGCUAAAUGCGGAAGAGAUAAGUGCUGAAAGCAUCUAAGCACGAAACUUGCCCCGAGAUGAGUUCUCCCUGAGACUUUAAGUCUCCUGAAGGAACGUUGAAGACGACGACGUUGAUAGGCCGGGUGUGUAAGCGCAGCGAUGCGUUGAGCUAACCGGUACUAAUGAACCGUGAGGCUUAACCUUACAACGCCGAAG
rnacentral:rRNA from 1 species